UGCCCACGUACGCCCCCCACCCUCUACUCUCUCUCUCUCUGUGUUGUGGAGGAGUGGGCGGCGGAAGCCAGGCAGCCCCUCCCUCCUCCAGCCCUGCCGAUUGCCGGACCCCACUUCUCGCUGUGGCAGGGCCGCGCGCAUGAGACUUGGGGAGGUCAGUGCGAUGCGUCGCUACUGAUGCCGGCGGUGAGGUCGUGGGUGGUGCUGCCUCGGAGCGACCUGCGACCGUGCACACGCUUGUGCCACCCAUGUGACUGGGCAGCGUGACUCGAACGCAUCCCACACCCGACCCUCACACGGCCCACUGGUGCUGCGGGGAGCCUGCGCCACUCGUGGAGAUGCACCAGGUGGCGGCCGACAUGAUGCGGCUGGCUGCGAGGCGACGUGCGAAGCGCAGGGGUGGGUGGAGUUGGAGGCAAAGGCCGCGCCGAUAUGACCUUGCCUGCAUUGUUAUCGCGCAUAUGCACACGGCUGCCUCGCGCCGCGCGGAUGGGCGUGUGUGUGUGUGUGACCGGCGGGGCAGAGUGCGGCGUUCAGCUCGUGCUGCAUGGCGGAGAAAUGGCAUCGCUGAAUGAACAAGGAGUUGUUUCCGCCUCCUCCCCGUCCCCGGCUGUGACUGUGGCUCCGUGUGGGCCAUCGGCCCGAAGAAGGGACAGGGCUAAGCGGAGGUGGCUGGACGAAGUGCGACGCGGCCGUGCAUGUGUAGUGUGAUAGGGAGACGCUCUUAGUUUUGCCUCUUCUGUGUUCUCCCCCUUGCCUCCGUGUGUAUGUGCAAGCGCGGGUGGCCUACGGUGGUAGUGGCGGCGGCCUUGCCAGGUUGGGGUGUGCUGGCGCAUCUGCAAGUCGCCCGUCGUGAUCACAUGUGCAUCCGUAUCGUCUAGACCCCCCUCCUUUCCGAGGCACUCACGCGCACAUACUCUGAAACGAUUCUCAGAGGUCUUUCAGGUGCACUGCUCUCUCUGCGCGAGCGCGCCUUUUCGCAGGGUCGCGAGCCCCGCAAGUACACGCACAUUCACACAGACGUGCAGAAUCUCCUUGCAGCGCCGCCAUCCUUGCUGCCUCCCUUCUUCCAUCCGCGGAUCCACUUGCACGCGUGAGAGCUGGGAGCGAAGGACAAGAGGACCAGAGAGGGAGGGUAGAAGCAGGCGCACGUCUCUGUAUGCGUGAUUGGUUUCUUGCCGGCUCGCUCCUGUUUACGUUCCGCAUGCCUUCCCCUCCCCUCUCCUCGGCUCUGUCGCUGCGCCCCGUCGUGCGUGUGUGUGUGUGUCGCGUGGCGAUGGAGGAGGCGAAGCGGUAUUGUGGUGCUCUUGUUGCUUCGUUCUUCAGUUAAUCCGUCCGUUCACCCACCGCCACUUCCCGCCUCUGUGAUGAUGCCGAGGGUGAGGGGGUUAUCGACUGUCCUUCUCUUUACGUGGUUCGGUUGCGCCUCUUGUGCUCUCCACCCCUUUCCUUGCGAGUUGUCUUCAGCCCCCUCCCUCCCUCCCUCCCUCCCUCCCUCCCACACUUUCUUCCGCUCCGAAUCGCUGAUCUUCGCACGUCGCGAACUCGUUGGUUGUUUCAUGCUAUCGACCGUUGCUGCGUCUGUGUGACGUGCGGCGGCCACACAGGGGAGGGAAAAGGACGUGUGGGCGGGGAAGUGGAGCAAGGAGGGGGCGAGGCGCUAUCUCGAUGCUACGGCCGGCUGACGCGUACGCCAAGAUGGAUGAGAGAAAUCCCUCCCCACAAACGACUCGGGCGUGUUUGCGUGCCCUCGAUGACGUCCAUUGCCCAUGAAGGAGGGCAGGGCAGGAGUCGGAGUGAAGGGAUCGAAGCAAAGACAUGCGCAGGGUGUGUGGGCGUGCUGUUGUCGAACGCCUCCCAACUCCCCCUUCUGCCUUUCCCACAAGAGGCACCUCAUAUCCGUCUCUCACCACCACCAAGACGGCUUGCUUGCUUGCUGCCCUUGGUUGCUUCCUUGCGUUUCACCUGCCGCUUUUCUCCGCCUACUCCCUCCCCUCCCCUCUUACGCUCCCGCUGACUUUCUUCCGUCCCCCCUCGACUUACGCCUGUUCGUCGAACCUCUUCCCUCGACUCACUCGCAUGCCUGACGACGCACACGCGCACGCACAG
rnacentral:misc_RNA from 1 species